CGCUGGGGUUGCCGCAGGAAUGAGCUGAGGGCCCAGCGCUGCGCGUAGGAAACUUUAUUAGGGCUUGGGCUUUAGGACCACAGUGGACUGCCUGCAGGGAGCCACUUUAGUCCUGUGAUCAAGGACGCGGCUCUGUGUCCCCGCAGAGGGCAACUGUCCUGCAGCUUGGAUGUGGGGCAGGGGGUGUCUGCUGUGGUGCCACGGGGACAGAUGGGGACACGCUGGGCAGGAGGGGCUGCAGCCCCGCGCCGUGAGUGAGGUGUGGGGAUCUGGCAUGUGUCGGAGCCCUCCUCCCCACGAAGAGGUGUGAGCAGACCCUUGUGUUACCUGGCCCAGCCCACUCCACCACAGGACCUUUGCACGGUCCUGCCUCUCCCCGGCUGACUGUCCCCGAGGUCACUGCACUGUGGCUCUCUCCUUGGCUCUCUGCCACCAGGGGCAGCCUGGGUUCCUGAGCCCCUGGUCCCCAGGCCAGGCGAGGCUGGGAGUGCACCCCACACCCCCAGGUGUCCCCGCCUGCCCCAGACGCAGCACCCUGUCUUGCCAGCCCCUCUCCUUCCUCCCCAACCCCACUCCUGGUGCAGGGCUCGGGAGCCCCUCCACGGCCAGGUGGGUCUGUCCAUGAGUCCAGGCCCGAGGGUCCUCGCCAGGUGCCUGGGUGGCCUGGAGAGCAGGGGGUCUCACAGGGGCCCCAGCACCGCGGAGCGAGGACCUGGCUGGGUUUCCGGGCAGAGUUCGAUCUGUGGCCACCCUGGCAGGGUGUGAGCCUUCUGUGUGCAGUGGGGGAGCCGAGCUCCUGGCUGCUCCUCUUGUGCACCUCGCUAGGACCCUGGCCGGGAGGACCAGGAGCCAGGAGGGACAGGGAGGCCAGGCCGAGUCGGGGUCCGGGAGGCCGGGGCAAAAGGAUUGCAAGUUCAAGCCCAGCCUGGGCAAUUUAGCAGGUCAGUGAGACCCUAUCUUAAAGAAGAAAAAAAAACCCUUUUGUUUAUACGGGAAUCGAACUCAGGUCCUUGUGCUUUC
rnacentral:lncRNA from 1 species